rnacentral:rRNA from 1 species
GACAGAGGGUGCAAACGUUGUUCGGAAUUACUGGGCGUAAAGGGCGCGUAGGCGGCCUGCUAAGUCGAACGUGAAAUCCCCGGGCUUAACCCGGGAACUGCGUCCGAUACUGGUGGGCUUGAAUCCGGGAGAGGGAUGUGGAAUUCCAGGUGUAGCGGUGAAAUGCGUAGAUAUCUGGAGGAACACCGGUGGCGAAGGCGGCAUCCUGGACCGGUAUUGACGCUGAGGCGCGAAAGCUAGGGGAGCAAACGGG